rnacentral:lncRNA from 12 species
AUGUUGGUUCUUAUUUUGUCAAGCAAAGUAAAAGUCAGUGGUGCUGGUGCUGGUUGGGCGCUGUCAUCGGAGGGCACUCCGCGGCAUUCAGAAAGGGCAGGCGACCCUUCAGCUGCUAGGCCUUUGCCUUCCUUACACUCAGGCCCAGCAGCCCCACUCGCCUCCUGCUCCAGUGCUUCUCGCAGCUGCCAGACCGUCUCCCUCCCAAGGCCAUGCCUUCAGGAGCAAGGAAAGAAAAACAAGAGGAACUGGGACAGAUUCAGAGUGAAAAUAACUCUCUUGACCUCCAUGCGACCGUAUGUGAGCAGCAGGAAGAUAAGCAUGUGUUGGAGUAAGUACAGGGUCAGGGUGGGAGGUGAUGGGGGAGCCCAGGGACUGCUCUCAGCUGCCUUUUUUUUUUUUUUUAAGAUUUUAUUGAUUUAUUCAUGAGAGACACAGAGAGAGGCAGAGACACAGGCAGAGGGAGAAACAGGCUCCUUACGGGGAGCCUGAUCCCAGGACCCCAGGAUCACAACCUGAGCCAAAGGUAGAUGCUCAACCACUGAGCCACCGAGGUGCCCCCGUCUCUCAGCCUUCUGGCGUGCUGCCUCCCCAGGGCCAGCCGCUGAAGCCUCACCCAUGGAACUCCCCUCUACAAGCACUGAAGGGCAUCCCCGUACCUUUCUUGAUCCUUCCAUGGCAUACUCCUCUCCCCCUGGACAAUUCACGUACAACCAGCAUGUAGAUCUGGACUUGGAUCCCCUGCUCUGCUGGAUUAGGGAGGAAGGAAGAAGAGGCGUAGAAGACAGGAAAUUGGCCCUGGGGAGCUAUGAGCUGGAGAACAUACAGGACUGACUUCCUGAAACUGGUCACUCCUUCAUUCUCCCCUAGCGACAUCCAGAAAGCCGAGAUCAGCAUGCUCUUUUCCUCACUUAGGCUCAGUGAUAGGGAUGCUGCUCAUGCUUUCUCACCGCAAGUCAGGGCAAGAGGUCUGAUAGUGACCCACCUACGUUCUCGGUGGGUCUACCAGAAACCAUCCGCUCCCACCUUCCAUCUCUUUAGCCUGAUUGCUGCUCUUUUCUAGAUGAGGAAACUGGACCCUGGGGUGAGUGAUUUGCCCAGACGGAGAGCUGGUUUGAAGCUGAGGUCCUCCAAUCAGUCCAUGGCAUCCUCUGCUCUAGAAUGCCACCCCCCCGCCUCGCCCCACCACCUCUCUGGCUCCAGUUCAUCCUGACCAUGAGGUCCUGUAAUCCAGUGACUCUACUCCCAGAUAUUUGCUUAUGGGAGAGAACACAGGUACCCUCAAAAAAAAGCCUGGACAUGAAUUUUUCUUUUUUUUUUAUUUUUUAAAAAUUUAUUCAUGAGAAACACAGAGUGAGAGAGAAAGAGGCAGAGGGAGAAGCAGGCUCCCUGUGGGGAGCCUGAUGCGGGACUCGAUCCCAGGACCCCAGGAUCACGAUCGGAGCCAAAGGCAGCCACCCAGGUGCCCCAGACAUGAAUUUUUCUACAUGUUUAUUCCUGAUAAUCAAAAACUAAAAGCAGGUGUCCAUUGAUAGAUGAUAACACAAACAAGGGUAGGUCCAUGCCACAGAAUACUGGUCAUCAAUAAAAAGGAGCAAACUGCCGGUAAAUGUGACGAC